UACGUAGGGUGCAAGCGUUGUCCGGAAUUAUUGGGCGUAAAGAGCUCGUAGGCGGCUUGUCGCGUCGGCUGUGAAAACUCGGGGCUCAACCCCGAGCCUGCAGUCGAUACGGGCAGGCUAGAGUCCGGCAGGGGAGACUGGAAUUCCUGGUGUAGCGGUGAAAUGCGCAGAUAUCAGGAGGAACACCAAUGGCGAAGGCAGCUCACUGGGACGAUACUGACGCUGAGGUGCGAAAGCGUGGGGAGCAAACAGG
rnacentral:rRNA from 1 species